UUUAUUUAGUAACUGUAUUAUUUUAGUGGAGCUGAUAGGUCAGUAUAGUAGUAGAAUGUCUAAUUAAGAAUGAUUUAAGUACUGCAGGGGAAGUAAAUAAAAUAAUAAAGAGAAGAGGGACACGCUUGUACCUUUUGUAUCAUGGCCUAGUAAGAAGAGAGAGUAAAUACUUGUUCUCGAAGUCAGGAGAGCUUUUUUAUUUUUUGUUUUUAGACCAAACAAUGCUAAGUGUGGCAAAACUUAGGUGAUAGAAUAGAAAAGAUGUAAAAUUCUAUACGUUCUUGAGGAUAGCUAGUUUUUACAGAAAAACAUUUAAGUGUUGUGGUCAAAGAUCAAUUGUUACAGUUAUUCUGCUAAAAUUGCUUAGACUAAUUAGGCAGUGGGGGAUAAGCUCUACUGGGAUAGAUAAAAAGUCUGAGUUGUUGCUAGGCUUAUAGUUGGCCAGGACUUUAUCAGUUUGUUAUAAAUGAUUGAUGUAGUGGGAUAUUAAAGAUUUGGUUCUAUUAAAAUGAUGUAAAUACACUAAAAGGUUAGGAUUAGUGUUAACUAUGCUAGGAUGAGUAUUAAAAAUUCUAUAAGGAGUGCUAAAGUAAAGUAUAAGGCAAGAUAGAAGAGAAGGACAAAAAUAUAAAAUUUUUAAAAGGAAUUCGGCAAAAUAAGUUCUCGCCUGUUUAGCAAAAACAUGGCUCUCUGCUAUAUAAUAGAGAGUUUGGCCUGCCCAGUGAUUAAUUUAACGGCCGCGGUACCCUAACCGUGCUAAGGUAGCAUAAUCAUUUGCCUUUUAAUUGGAGGCUGGAAUGAAUGGUUUGACGGGGAAUAACUGUCUCUUGAGGAAAAGUAAAAAUUAAUCUUUAGGUCAAAAAGCCUAAAUAGAAUAAUUAGACGAGAAGACCCUAGCGAGCUUUACCUUUUUUUGUGGAAAGCUCAAAAUAAGGGUUGAUUGGGGCGAUAGGGGAGCAAAGAAAACCUCCCUUAAUUAUUUGGAAAGUGAUGACUCUUUGAUCCAAUAGCUGUUGAUUAAAAGAAAUAGUUACCGUAGGGAUAACAGCAUUAUUCUCUUUGAGAGUCCUAAUCGAAAAGAGAGUUUGUGACCUCGAUGUUGGACUAGGAUAUCCUAAGGGUGCAGAAGCUCUUAAAGGUGGGUCUGUUCGACCCUUAAAAUCCU
rnacentral:misc_RNA from 1 species